CAAAGCGGAGCUUGAUAAGUUAAGCAUCUCACUUACGUUGAGAAGUUCGUUGUGCAAAUCAAUGCGCUUUGA
rnacentral:tRNA from 1 species